UACGGAGGGUGCGAGCGUUGUCCGGAAUCAUUGGGCGUAAAGAGCUCGUAGGCGGUUUGUCGCGUCUGCCGUGAAAGUCCGGGGCUCAACUCCGGAUCUGCGGUGGGUACGGGCAGACUAGAGUGAUGUAGGGGAGACUGGAAUUCCUGGUGUAGCGGUGAAAUGCGCAGAUAUCAGGAGGAACACCGAUGGCGAAGGCAGGUCUCUGGGCAUUAACUGACGCUGAGGAGCGAAAGCAUGGGGAGCGAACAGG
rnacentral:rRNA from 1 species